rnacentral:rRNA from 1 species
AUGAACGCUAGCUACAGGCUUAACACAUGCAAGUCGAGGGGCAGCAUUUUAGUUUGCUUGCAAACUAAAGAUGGCGACCGGCGCACGGGUGAGUAACACGUAUCCAACCUGCCGAUAACUCGGGGAUAGCCUUUCGAAAGAAAGAUUAAUAUCCGAUAGUAUAUUAAAACCGCAUGGUUUUACUAUUAAAGAAUUUCGGUUAUCGAUGGGGAUGCGUUCCAUUAGUUUGUUGGCGGGGUAACGGCCCACCAAGACUACGAUGGAUAGGGGUUCUGAGAGGAAGGUCCCCCACAUUGGAACUGAGACACGGUCCAAACUCCUACGGGAGGCAGCAGUGAGGAAUAUUGGUCAAUGGACGAGAGUCUGAACCAGCCAAGUAGCGUGAAGGAUGACUGCCCUAUGGGUUGUAAACUUCUUUUAUAUGGGAAUAAAGUAUUCCACGUGUGGGAUUUUGUAUGUACCAUAUGAAUAAGGAUCGGCUAACUCCGUGCCAGCAGCCGCGGUAAUACGGAGGAUCCGAGCGUUAUCCGGAUUUAUUGGGUUUAAAGGGAGCGUAGGUGGAUUGUUAAGUCAGUUGUGAAAGUUUGCGGCUCAACCGUAAAAUUGCAGUUGAAACUGGCAGUCUUGAGUACAGUAGAGGUGGGCGGAAUUCGUGGUGUAGCGGUGAAAUGCUUAGAUAUCACGAAGAACUCCGAUUGCGAAGGCAGCUCACUAGACUGCAACUGACACUGAUGCUCGAAAGUGUGGGUAUCAAACAGGAUUAGAUACCCUGGUAGUCCACACGGUAAACGAUGGAUACUCGCUGUUGGCGAUAUACUGUCAGCGGCCAAGCGAAAGCAUUAAGUAUCCCACCUGGGGAGUACGCCGGCAACGGUGAAACUCAAAGGAAUUGACGGGGGCCCGCACAAGCGGAGGAACAUGUGGUUUAAUUCGAUGAUACGCGAGGAACCUUACCCGGGCUUAAAUUGCAUUUGAAUAAUCUGGAAACAGGUUAGCCGCAAGGCAAAUGUGAAGGUGCUGCAUGGUUGUCGUCAGCUCGUGCCGUGAGGUGUCGGCUUAAGUGCCAUAACGAGCGCAACCCUUAUCUUUAGUUACUAACAGGUCAUGCUGAGGACUCUAGAGAGACUGCCGUCGUAAGAUGUGAGGAAGGUGGGGAUGACGUCAAAUCAGCACGGCCCUUACGUCCGGGGCUACACACGUGUUACAAUGGGGGGUACAGAAGGCAGCUACCUGGCGACAGGAUGCUAAUCCCAAAAACCUCUCUCAGUUCGGAUCGAAGUCUGCAACCCGACUUCGUGAAGCUGGAUUCGCUAGUAAUCGCGCAUCAGCCAUGGCGCGGUGAAUACGUUCCCGGGCCUUGUACACACCGCCCGUCAAGCCAUGAAAGCCGGGGGUACCUGAAGUACGUAACCGCAAGGAGCGUCCUAGGGUAAAACUGGUAAUUGGGGCU